AGAACGAACGUUAGCGGCGCGCCUAACACAUGCAAGUCGCACGAGAAAGGGCUUCGGCCCCGGUAAAGUGGCGCACGGGUGAGUAACACGUAGGCAAUCUGCCCUGAAGUGGUGGAUAACCCUCCGAAAGGAGGGCUAAUACAGCAUGAGACCACGGCAUCCACGGAUGCUGCGGCCAAAGUGGACCUCUCCACGGAAGUUCACGCUACAGGAUGAGCCUGCGGCCCAUCAGCUUGUUGGCGAGGUAAUGGCUCACCAAGGCUAAGACGGGUAGCUGGUCUGAGAGGAUGAACAGCCACACUGGAACUGAGACACGGUCCAGACUCCUACGGGAGGCAGCAGUGGGGAAUCUUGCACAAUGGGCGAAAGCCUGAUGCAGCGACGCCGCGUGAGCGAUGAAGGCCUUCGGGUUGUAAAGCUCUGUGGGGAGGGACGAAUAAGGGUUGGCUAAUAUCCAAUCUGAUGACGGUACCUCCUUAGCAAGCACCGGCUAACUCUGUGCCAGCAGCCGCGGUAAGACAGAGGGUGCAAACGUUGUUCGGAAUCACUGGGCGUAAAGCGCGUGUAGGCGGCUACGUAAGUCGGACGUGAAAGCCCACGGCUCAACUGUGGAAGUGCGCUCGAAACUGUGUAGCUUGAGUCUUGGAGAGGAAGGCGGAAUACUUGGUGUAGAGGUGAAAUUCGUAGAUAUUCGCAAGAACACCAGUGGCGAAGGCGGCUCACUGGCCCGGAACUGACGCUGAGACGCGAAAGCGUGGGGAGCAAACAGGAUUAGAUACCCUGGUAGUCCACGCUGUAA
rnacentral:rRNA from 1 species